rnacentral:rRNA from 1 species
AUGCCGCAUCAAUUUGCUAUUUGUCAUGCUAUUGCUAACUGCAAGCCAUGGUUCCUGAUGAUUACCUUCAUGGUAGGAUUUGACUUCCUGAAUCUGAUUUCGUCGAGUUCCUGCACUGAGGUCCCAAUGGUAUGCAUGAUAAGGCAAUCUGAAAAUGAAAGAGCAUCAGUCUACAUUCUUCAUUGCUUGGACUCUGCAGAAAGCUUAUAUGGUUUUAUAAAUAGCAUAUCUGAUGACAGGUGGAAUUUGUUUGGGUUUCUGUUUACAUGCUUGGCCAUUACAGAAAGUGUGUUGUUGGUAAUUUAUUGA